rnacentral:rRNA from 1 species
AUCACGCCUAGCCUGAACACGAAUUCGAUCUCCUCCGAGAACCCCGCGUAUCUGAUGCGACUAUCUGUGGCUUCGGGGAUGCUUCCUCUUGAUUGGCACAGGCGUCACGCCCAUUCCGCCAGGUACCCGUCCUCGCCGCCGUCGUUGGCGGCCCGCCCGGUGGUGAGCUCCAGGAGCACCACGCCGAAGCUGUACACGUCCACCUUCUCCGUCACACUCGUCGUGUUAGCGCACUCUGCACACCAGCAUAUGACGGUGUGA